rnacentral:rRNA from 1 species
AGUGAACGCUGGCGGUAGGCCUAACACAUGCAAGUCGAACGGCAGCACAGUAAGAGCUUGCUCUUACGGGUGGCGAGUGGCGGACGGGUGAGGAAUACAUCGUACUCUACUUUUUCGUGGGGGAUAACGUAGGGAAACUUACGCUACUACCGCAUACGACCUACGGGUGAAAGCAGGGGAUCUUCGGACCUUUCGCGAUUGCAUGGGCCGCUGUCGGAUUAGCUAGUUGGCGGGGUAAAGGCCCACCAAGGCGACGAUCCGUAGCUGGUCUGAGAGGAUGAUAGCCCACACGGGAACUGAGACACGGUCCAGACCCCUCAGGGAGGCAGCAGAGGGGAAUAUUGGACAAUGGGGGAAAGCCUGAUCCAGACAGACCGCGUGGGGGAAGAAGGCUUUGGGUUUGUAAAGCCCUUUUGUUGGGAAAGAAAAGCAGCAGGUUAAUACCCCGCCGUUCUGACGGUACCCAAAGAAUAAGCACCGGCUAACUUCGUG